rnacentral:rRNA from 1 species
UACGAAGGGGGCUAGCGUUGCUCGGAAUUACUGGGCGUAAAGGGAGCGUAGGCGGGUCGUCAAGUUGGGGGUGAAAGCCCAGGGCUCAACCCUGGAACUGCCUUCAAAACUGGCGACCUAGAGUAUGGUAGAGGUGUGUGGAACUCCGAGUGUAGAGGUGAAAUUCGUAGAUAUUCGGAAGAACACCAGUGGCGAAGGCGACACACUGGGCCAUUACUGACGCUGAGGCGCGAAAGCGUGGGGAGCAAACAGG